UAGGGAAUUUUCGGCAAUGGGGGGAACCCUGAUCGAGCAACGCCGCGUGAGUGAAGAAGGUUUUCGGAUCGUAAAGCUCUGUUGUUAAGGAAGAACGAGUGUGAGAAUGGAAAGUUCAUGCUGUGACGGUACUUAACCAGAAAGGGACGGCUAACUACGUGCCAGCAGCCGCGGUAAUACGUAGGUCCCGAGCGUUGUCCGGAUUUAUUGGGCGUAAAGCGAGCGCAGGCGGUUAGAAAAGUCUGAUGUGAAAGCCCCCGGCUCAACCGGGGAGGGUUAUUUGAAACUGGUUGACUUAAGUGCAGAAGAGGAGAGUGUAAUUCCUUGAGUAGCGGUGAAAUGCAUAGAUAUAUAGGGGAACACCAGUGGCCAGGGCGACUCUCUGGUCAGUAACUGACGCUGAGGUUCGAAAGCGUGGGUAGCAAACAGG
rnacentral:rRNA from 1 species